rnacentral:lncRNA from 1 species
AUGUCUUUAAAACGUGAUUUGAGAUCCCUUGGUUUUGAUCCGUCUCACAAAAAUUGUUUAGCCGGAGAGGAAUUAACCAAGGUGUAUUUGAAGCAGCGCAGAUCAGUCCUGGAGAAAGCACUGCAUGAAGAAUCACCUUUUCCACGUCUUGAAGAAAUGUCAAAACCAGAGGCAUAUGUCGUGGAGAAUAACGACAAGCUUACCAUACAGUGUCAUUUUUGUGGCAACCACAUGGCCAUGGCAACACUUCCUCCUCCUUUCCAACUCGUCAUGCCUAGUGAAGGAAGAGAAGCAAAGUCAGUGGAGAGCAGAGAUGCCGCUGUCCAAGUGGAUCUGCCGCCUACAACGAUGCUAAUGUUAAAGACCAGUAACAAGGAACACGACUCGGCCGGCCGCAGUCCUCAUGGGAACACCACAACCGGGCGCACCACGGCCGGAACCGCCACGGCGUGGUACGCCACUGUCGGGGGCCCCGCGGCUGGGUACCCCAUGGCCGGGUGCCCGCCAGCCUUUCUGAUGGACCCCAGCCCAUCUUCCAACUCAUCUCUGUCCCCACCUGGAUGGAACACCUCUGCUGGGACCACUGUUGGGAGAGGUGUGUCCCAAUGGAACACGUCUUCGCUAAAUGAAUCGGUGACCAAGCAGCACCAGGAGGCCCAACUGCCCCCAGUCGACCCAGUCCGAUCCACUACUCCCAUCUGCAUCUCCUCCUCUUCCUCCUCGGCUUCCUCCAGCCCCUCCUCAUCGCCCCGCCCCCACUCCUCGUCCACGUUCCUCCCAGUCACUCUUCCCAACCUCUAUACUUCCCUGACGCAAACCAAGAAGGCCCUGACGCAAACCAAGAAGGACCUGCCGCGACUAAAGAGGAUCCUGCCCAAACCCAGAACUGGCCUGCAAAGCCCCGGGCCCCCAACCCUGAGCCCCCAAUCCUGCACCUCUCUGGGCCUCCGAGCACCUCCCUCUCCCCUGUUUUCCUCCCCCCCUAGGACCAGCAGCCUUGACUUGGAGGAGGGGGUGGACCUCACCCCUCCUGGCCUCAUAGCUCCUCUAAGUCCGCGGCUAGCAGAGGAGGAGGAGAACGAGGAGGAGAGCCAAGCGAAAGAGGCUGUCGCGGGAGGGACGAGGGGAGCGCCUCAUGAGUGUUCUGUUUGUCUCAGGGACAUGAAGACCAAGCAGCGGCUGAUGGUCCACUUCAGGGUCCACACGGGAGAGAGGCCCUUCAGGUGUGAGUUAUGCAGCUGUGCCUUCGCACAGGUGGGAAACCUCCAAUGUCACGUGAAAAGCAAGCAUCCGCUGGCGAUCCCAGAACCCAGUGGUGGCCGCAUGCGCCGAAAAUCCUCAAAAAAGGUUGCCAUGGCGGGCGACGGCACUCCUAGCCCCCCCAAGGCAGCAGAGGUAAACGCUUCUGUUGGUUUCCAGGGAGCCAACAAAGCUCUGAGCGAUUCUAGGAACGCUAGCAAUGCUCCUGCUGAAUCCAGGCUAGCGGCCUCUGAAAACCUUGACAUUGACCGCACUGCGGGCAUUGAAUUGACUAACGUGGCUACCAUUGCUAAUGACGUUGUUGGUCGUGAACCCUCCAGUUUCCCAACUGACUUCCCAAGGAGUAGGGACUUCAGUGCUUGGGACGUCCACAAUGCCAUGGAGCUCAACCCAGUCAUGGAGGUCGAUGAUGCCAAGGGAAAGGGCCUGGAGGAGGCGGUGGGUCCUGGCUUUCCUCCUGGACUCAUAGCUCCUCUUAGUCCGCAGCUAGCAGAAGAGGAGGCGGUGGGUCCUGGCUGUCCUCCUGGACUCAUAGCUCCUCUUAGUCCGCAGCUAGCAGAGGAGGAGGGGGUGGGUCCUGGCUGUCCUCCUGGACUCAUAGCUCCUCUUAGUCCGCAGCUAGCAGAGGAGGAGUCGGUCGAGGAGGCGGGCCGAGGAAGUAAGGCGAUGGCUGGAGUGACGACUGGACGGCCCUUUGAGUGUUCCAUUUGUCACAUUGACAUGAAGACCGAGCAGCAUCUCCAGAUCCACUCGAAACUCCACACCGGCUACUGGUGUGAGUUAUGCAGGAUUUCCUAUAAAUCGGGGAAAACCCUUCGCUUUCACAUGAAGCGGAAGCAUCCGCUGGCGAUCCCAGAACCCAUUGGUGGCCACGUGCCCUGCAAAUUCUCAAAAAAGGUUGCCAUGGCGGUCGGUAGCGCUCUUAGCCCCCCCAAGGCAGCAGAGGUAAACGCUUCUGUUGGUUCCCAGGGAGUGAACAAAGCUCUGACUGAUUCUAGGAAAGCUAGAGAUGCUCCUGCUGAUUCUAAGCUGGCUGGGAACGACAACAUUCAUAUUGACUGCGCUGCGAUCAUUGGAGAGACUACCGGGGCUAACAUUGCUAAUGACGUUGUUGGUCAUGAACCCUCCAGUUUUCCAACUGAUAGAGCGUUGAGUAGGGACUUUAGUGCUGGGGACGUCCACAACGCCAUGGAGCUCAAUGUCAUGGAGGUAAACCCCGACGUGGUGGUCAAGCCCAACGUGGAGGUCAACCCCAUCCCAGAGGUCAACCCCAUCCCGGAGGUCAACCCUGACGUGGUGGUCAAGCCCAACGUGGAGGUCAACCCCAUCCCAGAGGUCAACCCCAUCCUGGAGGUCAACCCCAACGUGGUGGUCAAGCCCAACGUGGAGGUCAACCCCAUCCCAGAGGUCAACGCCAACGUGGAGGUCAACCCCAUCCCGGAGGUCAACCCCAUCCCAGAGGUCAACCCCAUCCCAGAGUUCAACCCCAACGUGGUGGUCAAGCCCAACGUGGAGGUCACUCCCAUCCCAGAGGUCACCCCCACCCCGGAGGUCAACCCCAACGUGGAGGACAAUGGCGUUGAAGGGGUCAAUGAUGCCAAGGGAAAGGGCCUGGAGGAGGCGCUAGCAGCGGAGGAGGCGGUCGAGGAGGAGGGCCGAGGAAGUAAGGCAAUCGCUGGAGUGAGGACGGGGACGCCCUUUGAGUGUUCUUUUUGUCACAUGGACAUGAAGACCAAUCAGCUUCUCCAGAUCCACUUAAUAGUCCACACGGGGCGCUACAGGUGUCAGUUAUGUGGCAUUGCCUACAUAACGGUGGGAUCCCUUACGAAUCACAUGAGGCUGAAGCAUCCGUCCAUUUCGAGUUUCCCCACGGCAGCAGACGCUUAUGUUGGUUUCCAGGAAGCCACCAAAUCUCAGACUGAUUCUAAGCAAGCUAGCUCCGGAGAGGCUAAUGUUUCUAACAUUGACAACACUGCUAGCUCCGGAGAGGCUAAUGUUUCUAACAUUGACAGCACUGCUAGCUCCGGAGAGGCUAAUGUUUCUAACAUUGACAGCACUGCUAGCUCCGGAGAGGCUAAUGUUUCUAACAUUGACAGCACCGUUAGCUCCAGAGAGGAUAAUAUUUCUGACAUUGACAGCACCGCGAGUUCGAGAGAGGCUAAUGUUUCUAACAUUGACAGCACCACUAGCUUCGGAGAGGCUAAUGUUUCUAACAUUGACAGCACCACUAGCUUCGGAGAGGCUAAUGUUUCUAACAUUGUCAGCACUGCAAGCUCCGGAGAGGCUAACAUUGCAAACGGUUCUGCCUUUGGUUUCAAGGAAGCUAGCAAAGCUCCUACUUAUUAUAAGCAUGGUGGUUACGACAUUGGCAUUGACAGCGUUGUUGACGAGGUCAACGGCAUUAUGGAGGUCAACCCGAUCACGGAGGCCAAUGAUAUCAAGGGGGAGUUCAAAGACAUCACAGAGGUCAAUGACGUCUCUGAACUCAAUGUUGUCAGGGAGGCUUCCAAUGAUGUUAAGACGAAGGUCUAUGGUGUCAUGGAGCUCAAUCAUAUGGAGGACACAAACGCUGUGGUUGGCAGUGAUAUCACAGUUCUCACCAGGAGAACCCGGAGAGACCAUCGGGAGCAGAGGAAAGACUUCUUCUGUCUUGAGUGUUUAGAGUGUUUCCGCAUGGAGGAAGAUCUCAUGAAACACGAAUACGAGAAGCACCCGCAUGGGGAACAACCCGAAAGCAACGACGACAACAGUAGAAGCCCGGAGCCGUUUGUUCAUCAACUGAGGUGGAGCUCUGAAGAAAACCUCUUGGCGCUUAGCACAGACUCGGAGCCAAUGAACUCUGGCGAAGUCGAGACGAAACAGACAUUGCGGCAAGGUCGAAAGAGGAAAGCUAGUUCCCCCAGACUUUCCGAAAUCCCAGUGGAAAGGUCGACGGGGAAACGUAAAGUAAAAAAGAGAGUGCCAAAGAGUUACACAGGCUCUGGAGCCAGGGGCGGAAUGGAUGCUCCCAAGCCUGCGUUUGGAGAGAUCCAUAUUCAGGGCAGACCCCAGAAGGUUCCACAACCCGUGGAGAAAUACUUUAAAUGUGUCAGAAUGAGUGCACGGAGCUGGCCCUGCAAAACUGCACUGCAAAACUCAACAGAUACACAAGGAAGACCGACGGAUACAACAGCUGGCCAGACAGAAACACCAGGCAGGCAGACACACACACCAGACACAUUGGCCAGAAGGAUAGACCAACCAGACAGACAGAUGGACACACCAAACAGACAGACAGACACACUGGCCAAACGCACGUGCACAAUGACCGACAACCAAGGCAGGCAGACAAUCACACAGCCAGUGAAUGACGGUGACGGUGAAACCAGUAAAGAGUACCCGGUUGGAGUGGAAGCCAGCAGAGAAGAGAGACACACUGGAACAGAGAGACAGGAAACAGGCUCAACGUCUGAAGCCCCAGAAAGAGUCAACACGCUGGACGGAAAUAUGCCAGGCUUCCUAAAGCCCUGCUCCGUCAAGCUCUUCUGUUUGCCACAGCAUACUCUAGAGGCGCAUCGCAUUAAGGGAUUGAAAGGAACUCUAUUCUAG